rnacentral:rRNA from 1 species
GAUGAACGCUAGCGGCAGGCUUAAUACAUGCAAGUCGAGGGGCAGCAGGGAUAGCAAUAUUCGCUGGCGACCGGCGCACGGGUGCGUAACACGUAUACAAUCUGCCUUUUACUGGGGGAUAGCCUUUCGAAAGAGAGAUUAAUACCCCAUAAUAGAUUCUUGGGCAUCCAAGGAUUUUGAAAGCUCCGGCGGUAAGAGAUGAGUAUGCGUCUGAUUAGCUAGUAGGUGAGGUAACGGCUCACCUAGGCAACGAUCAGUAGGGGAUCUGAGAGGACUAACCCCCACACGGAUACUGAGACACGGAUCCGACUCCUACGGGAGGCAGCAGUAAGGAAUAUUGGACAAUGCCCGCAAGGGUGAUCCAGCCAUGCCGCGUGCAGGAAGACGGCCCUAUGGGUUGUAAACUGCUUUUAUACAAGAGAAAACCUCCCUACGUGUAGGGAGCUGAUAGUAUUGUAGGAAUAAGCAUCGGCUAACUUCGUGCCAGCAGCCGCGGUAAGACGAAGGAUGCAAGCGUUAUCCGGAUUCAUUGGGUUUAAAGGGAGCGUAGGCGGUCUUAUAAGUCAGUGGUGAAAGCUCCUCGCUUAACGAGGAAAUUGCCAUUGAUACUGUAGGACUUGAGUACAGUUGCUGUGGGCGGAAUAUGACAUGUAGUGGUGAAAUACAUAGAUAUGUCAUAGAACACCGAUUGCGAAGGCAGCUCACAAAAC